rnacentral:rRNA from 1 species
UGAGGAAUAUUGGGCAAUGCCCGCAAGGGCGACCCAGCAACGCCGCGUGAAGGAUGAAUGUCGUAAGAUUGUAAACUCCUGUUAGAGGGGAAGAAUAGUACCGGUUGGACCGGUAUAUGACUGUACCCUCAGAGAAAGCCCCGGCUAACUACGUGCCAGCAGCCGCGGUAAUACGUAGGGGGCAAGCGUUGUCCGGAUUUACUGGGUGUAAAGGGCGCGCAGGCGGGAUAAAAAGUCAGUGGUGAAAUCCUACAGCUUAACUGUAGAACUGCCUUUAAUACUUUUAUUCUUGAGUUCGGGAGAGAGAGACGGAAUUCCAGGUGUAGUGGUGAAAUACGUAGAUAUCUGGAAGAACACCAGUUGCGAAGGCGGUCUCUUGGUCCGACACUGACGCUGAGGCGCGAAAGCGUGGGGAGCAAAC